AACGAACGCUGGCGGCAGGCCUAACACAUGCAAGUCGAGCGCGCCCUUCGGGGUGAGCGGCGGACGGGUGAGUAACGCGUGGGAACGUGCCCUUUUCUACGGAAUAGCCUCGGGAAACUGAGAGUAAUACCGUAUACGCCCUUUGGGGGAAAGAUUUAUCGGAAAAGGAUCGGCCCGCGUUGGAUUAGGUAGUUGGUGGGGUAAUGGCCUACCAAGCCGACGAUCCAUAGCUGGUUUGAGAGGAUGAUCAGCCACACUGGGACUGAGACACGGCCCAGACUCCUACGGGAGGUAAGAAGGGGGAAUCUUAGAACAAUGGGGAAACCCCGAUUAAGCCCUGGCGCGUGGGGUAUGAAGGCCUUAGGGUUGAAAAGCCUGUUUAACUGGGAAGAUAAUGACGGUACCAGCAGAAGAAGCCCCGGCUAACUCCGUG
rnacentral:rRNA from 1 species